GCCAUUUUAUCAGUAACCAAUGGGUUUCUGUGCUCCACUGACCUUGAAGUCAAUACCAGUGCCAAGAGCUCACUGUCUGCUGUUUCUUCUUGCAUUAUUGGUUUGAGAACCAUAAAAAUCUUCUGCUUUGGAAUUAGCCCAGUCGGUGUUUUCAUUGCUGAGGGGGCACAGGAUAAUGCUGCUAUCAGCUUCGUUAUUUACUUCAUCUCUGGCUCACUCAGC
rnacentral:lncRNA from 1 species